AUUGAACGCUGGCGGCAGGCCUAACACAUGCAAGUCGAGCGGAUGAAGGGAGCUUGCUCCUGGAUUCAGCGGCGGACGGGUGAGUAAUGCCUAGGAAUCUGCCUGGUAGUGGGGGAUAACGUCCGGAAACGGGCGCUAAUACCGCAUACGUCCUGAGGGAGAAAGUGGGGGAUCUUCGGACCUCACGCUAUCAGAUGAGCCUAGGUCGGAUUAGCUAGUUGGUGGGGUAAAGGCCUACCAAGGCGACGAUCCGUAACUGGUCGGAGAGGAUGAUCAGUCACACUGGAAAUGAGACACGGUCCAGACUCCUACGGGAGGCAGCAGUGGGGAAUAUUGGACAAUGGGCGAAAGCCUGAUCCAGCCAUGCCGCGUGUGUGAAGAAGGUCUUCGGAUUGUAAAGCACUUUAAGUGGGGAGGAAGGGCAGUAAGUUAAUACCUGGCUGUUUUGACGGUACCAACAGAAUAAGCACCGGCUAACUUCGUG
rnacentral:rRNA from 1 species